UGUUAAGAAAGAAUGUGAGCGAAGCAUCCCAGAAGUGAAGUCAAGCAACCAAGAGGAGACGAAGUUGGACUACAAGAACAAUCUUCUGAAGGAAGCGGAAAUGUCCAAACUUUGCUCCCAAAAAGCUAUUGACCUGGACAGAGAGAUGGAGAAGCCAUCUUGGAAAUAAGAGGUACCUUGCCACUGGCUGGUCCAGGGGCAGAUUUGGAAACGGAUGAA